rnacentral:rRNA from 1 species
UACGGAGGGGGCUAGCGUUGUUCGGAAUUACUGGGCGUAAAGCGCACGUAGGCGGCUUUGUAAGUUUAGAGGUGAAAGCCCGGGGCUCAACUCCGGAAUUGCCUUUAAGACUGCAUCGCUAGAAUUGUGGAGAGGUAAGUGGAAUUCCGAGUGUAGAGGUGAAAUUCGUAGAUAUUCGGAAGAACACCAGUGGCGAAGGCGACUUACUGGACACAUAUUUGACGCUG